GGAGGGGGGAAUUUGUGUGCGUGUGUGAGAGGGGCCGCGUGUGAGAGACCGUGUGUGAACGUAGGAGCGGGAGCGCGCGCGCGCGCGCAGCGCCAGAGUGUGUGUGAGAGGGCAGGGGACUCUGGCUGCCGGAGCCGCCGUUGCGGGAGGAGGAGGAGGAGAAGGAGGAGGCGGCUCCCCCUGCGUCCAGCAUCCCAAGAUCCCCCUCCUUCUUCCCUUCAGUUCCCUUCCCUCCUACUUCCCUUCCCUUUCCCCUUCCCUUUCCCGGUCCUUUCCCGACAUACUGCCUGCCUUGUCGUCCGCGCCCCUCGAAGUGUGGUGACCCCCCCCCGGCCAGGCCCCGGCCCGGCCCCUGCUGGCUGGGAAGGGAGGGAGGAGCUGCCCGAGCCAGGUAGAGCAUAAAUUAAAGAGAAAAUAAUUCAGAAGGAGGAAGAUCUAAUCAAGAUGUGUAGCUCUGUUGCUGCCAGAUUAUGGUUCUUGACAGAUCGUCGAAUCAGAGAAGACUACCCCCAACAGGAGAUACUACGAGCUCUAAAGGCCAAAUGUUGUGAGGAAGAACUAGACUUUAGAGCUGUAGUGAUGGAUGAAGUUGUAUUAACAGUGGAGCAAGGAAAUUUGGGUCUCCGAAUCAAUGGGGAGUUGAUCACUGCCUAUCCCCAGGUGGUGGUUGUAAGGGUACCAACACCUUGGGUGCAGAGUGAUAGUGAUAUCACUGUAUUACGUCACCUAGAGAAGAUGGGAUGCCGGCUGAUGAACCGGCCUCAAGCUAUCCUGAAUUGUGUCAAUAAGUUCUGGACUUUCCAAGAGCUAGCUGGCCAUGGUGUUCCUCUUCCAGAUACCUUCUCUUAUGGUGGUCAUGAAAAUUUUGCUAAAAUGAUUGAUGAAGCAGAAGUAUUGGAAUUUCCAAUGGUGGUGAAGAAUACACGGGGUCAUAGAGGUAAAGCUGUUUUCUUGGCUCGAGAUAAGCACCACUUGGCUGAUCUAAGCCAUCUUAUUCGCCAUGAAGCUCCAUACCUAUUCCAGAAGUAUAUAAAGGAAUCCCAUGGCCGGGAUGUGCGUGUCAUUGUGGUGGGAGGCCGUGUAGUCGGCACUAUGCUGCGCUGUUCAACUGAUGGAAGGAUGCAAAGCAACUGUUCACUAGGUGGUGUGGGAAUGAUGUGCUCACUGAGUGAACAAGGAAAACAGCUUGCCAUCCAGGUGUCAAACAUCUUGGGAAUGGAUGUGUGCGGCAUUGACCUACUGAUGAAAGAUGAUGGCUCAUUCUGCGUCUGCGAGGCCAAUGCAAAUGUAGGUUUCAUCGCCUUUGAUAAGGCUUGUAAUCUAGACGUAGCUGGUAUGAUAGCGGACUAUGCCACCUCCCUCCUGCCCCCUGGCCGGCUCACACGGCGCAUGUCCCUGCUCUCCGUGGUGUCCACGGCCAGCGAGACUAGUGAGCCAGAGUUGGGCCCCCCAGCCAUCACUGCUGUCGACAACAUGAGCGCAAGUUCCAGCUCUGUCGACAGCGACCCUGAAACCACGGAGAGGGAGCUACUCACCAAGCUCCCAGGGGGCCUGUUCAACAUGAACCAGCUGCUAGCCAAUGAAAUCAAACUCCUGGUGGAGUGACUCCACCUGUAAAUAAUUAACAAAGCCCUUGUAAAUCUUUCUCUCUUUUUUUUUCCUUUUUUUUCCUUCCUUUUUUUAAACCAACUUGCAAUGCUGUUUAUGAGAGAAGGUCAGGGAGCUGGAGGGGAAACUGAGCCAGGUUAGAUAAGAGAACAAAGAGAGAAAAGGAAAAGCCUAUGUUUUUCAGUCACUGCUAUCCUCCAUUUUUUAAUACUUCAGAACCAAUAAAUGGAAUUUUACCAUAUGAAUUAAUAAGGCAGAAAAGGGGGUAUAAGGUCUUCAAGCCCAAGUAGAUAAUUCCUUCCCUAUUGUUACCUUUUAAAAUAAGCUUCAAAAUGAAUGUGCUUUAGGGCCAGAGAAGAGGGGAUAUGAGAUUCUUGCACAACUCCUUAUAUGUUCUGGAUUUGGAAAGUCAACACUUUACUGCAGAUCAUAAUUUCCCUCCUGAGAUCACUUAUUAGAAAUGGGUCAGAGGAAACAUCCAAAAUUGAAGAAGCCUUUUAAUAUACAAUACCGAAAUUUCUGCCAUUUCAGUAUCCAAAUCUGUGUUCAUAUAUCUUCACAAAUCUUCCAGAACAGUUUUAAUAUGGGUGCUUCAUAUUUUAUGGUUGCAUUUUGUUUUUCAUAUUAGAUGGGAGGGCAAGAUAGAUGUGAUCUGUAAAAACAUUUAAUAAUGACAGAAGUGGCAUGUUUGCAUAAUAGAAGAUAGAUGAACAGCGUUGCAAUGUUUGGUGUACAAAGUAACAUUUAAUCGAAUGUGGAAAAACUUACACUAGUUUAAAGAUAUGUGCAUUGCCUUGUAUUUGUUAGUGUUUUAGUCUUUUGGAAGAUAUAUACUAUGUUAAUGUUGCAUUUUUUAAUACAUGCUAGUCCAAUAUUCCCUGCUCUAUGCCUGCAUCUUUAACAAUGGCCAAAGUGAAGAAAACGCUACCUUUUGUUAACAAGACACUGAAUUGAAGCCUGUGCAUCUUUUUUUAUUAUCCUUUUUUCCUUUCCCUUUUUUUCCUUUGUUUUGUCCUUCAGUGGUGGUUGGGUGUCUUAAGGUGAGGACAGAAAAUUAAUUUAUAUUUGGGAAAAUUAGAGCUGCUUUAAGCUCCUGAAUCCAUCAUGAUGCCAGUAUUAUGUACUUGCAUUCACAUUUUAGAAAGGGGAGGGGUGUGUGUGUGUGUGUGUGUGUGUGUGUGUGUGUGUGUGUGUGUGUGUGUGUGUGUUUAGGGGCAUGUAUGUGUGGGAGAUGGCUAGUGGGGGUUUUCUUUUACCUAAAUACUUAGUGAGAUAAAGACCAGAUAAAGUCAGUGGGAUCUGAAGUGAAGUAUGUAGCUUUUGACUUCAGGGAACAGAAUGUGAGUUGUUUUUAAGAACUAGACUUCAUGAGGCAUUUGGGGGGAGCAACCACUUGAAGCCACAGUGAAGAAUAGAUACUUCCCAGGUCUGUGUUUCUAUGUUAUUUUGUGUCAGUUGAUUUCUUUCCUUAGUUAUUGACUUUUCAGGGUAUGUUUAUCCAAGGCCACUAGUUUUAUGUCCACUCUCUUGGCCAGGCAUUUCCCCACUUCUUCCCAUGGGGUUUGGAGGGAAGGGUGGGAGGAAAGAAGAAAAAUGAAGACAGCAUCAUUGGGUCAGUUAUAACUGGGUCUCAUAAAAUUAUCAGCUUUCCCUGUUACUUUUUCUCCCUUGCCCACUAAAUCUGUAAAGCCCUAAAGCUAAAAGUGGUGUCAGCACACAUAAACACACAUAUACACAAACAACAACAGUAAUGAACAGGGAUAAAGGUAUCCCAAAGAGGUGUUGGAGUAUGUAUGAGAGACAAAUGGAAAUGCUGCCAACCUCCGCAGGAUUCUUAAAAGAGCAAGCACCAUCUCCCCUACAAUCCUCUGCAGUUUUUAUUUGAGCCACUUCUUUGCUUCUCCAGUGCUGUUUACCUUCAUGUGGACCUUAAACAUAAUCUCGUGGAUACUACUAGAGAGACUUCAAGGCAAUAAAAAGAAAGAUCAGUAUUAACCUGUUGUAACAGAGGUUUGAUCAUGCUUAUUUGUAUAGGAUUUUUUUUCUUUCAUUUUAAAAAGGAAUGUAACAAAAAUGGAUUUUAAAAUAGAAUUAAAUUAUUAAAAUUCAGUAGAAGGUUAAUUUUUGGUAAAUAGAAUAGUAACUCUUAACUGUGCCAGUGUCUGACUUCAUAGUGGAAGAUGCUAUAUUCAGGAGUUUAUUAUGAAAAUUAGGAUACUCUAAAUCACAUUCAAACAAUUUGGCUUAUAAUCAGAGUACUUUGUGUAUAUCUUCAUACACUUGUGAGCCAUAAACAGAAAAUGAUCACAUGUCAAAUGGUACUCUAAUCGAAUUCUGUUAUUUUGAUGGGUCCAGUACAUUGUUUGGUCAAGAGAAGUAAAAAAAAAAUUAAGGAGGAAACGUGCUUAGUUGCAUUUACCACAAAUGUUUUCAUGUAGAGAACAUCUCUAUGACAGAUGUAUUUGGAAUAUGUCUGUGUGUGAGAAUGUGUUUUGUGUGUGUGUGUGUGUGUGUGUGUGUGUACAAGUAAAUGUUUUUUUCCCUUUGACGAUAAAGGGAAAGAACCUUAGGGUUUGUGGUAUUGGAAAGGGAGGGAAUAGGGGAAAUUAAUUUAAUGUCAUUUGCACUUAUACACUCAUAGCAUAUAAUCCACAUGCAAAAUAAGAGGGGAGGAUAUCUGAAGCAGUCCAUCACUAGUUUAUUCAUACUUUGAUAAAACUAUUUUUACAUAAUUACACUGUUCUAAACUGUAGAUUCACCAACCUUGUUAUGAUUUGGAAGUUCACAUGUAAAGAGUGAAAAAAGCAGUAAAACCUAGCUGUUUUCCUCUAUUCCUUCAUUAAAUAGAGGUAAGAGAAAAGUUUUCCUAAAAGAGCCAAAUGAGACUUAUUCAAAUAUUUAUGUUUAAGUUGCAACUAAGUUUAUUUUUGUAUUUGUAAUUCCUUUUGUAUAAACCUCGUUACUGUUUGGAAAGGUAGAAAUGUAUCCUGUCAGUAUAUGUGUAACUAUAAUCAUGUCAAAGUUUGAAUUGUUUGUAGAGCAUUGUAGCUUGUCACACUUGUACUUUUUAAUGCUGUAUUUUUUUUUUAAAAAUUAUUUUCUGGAUCGUUUCCUCAUCUUGCACAUGAUGGAAGUUGGACUGUACGCAUGCACACACGUUAUGGACGGUUCCAUUUUAUUUUUUUCCCCACUUAAAAAAUUUUUUUUGAUGCUCACAAGCUGCUUAAUCAUUUCUGCUGGCUUUUCCUCCACCCAACUUUGAAAUCUUUGUGUGCAUGCUAUCUGCUCAAGAAACAGCUUUGGAACAUUUGAGUCUUUGGGGGAAAAAAAAACCACAGAGACAUGCUUUCAUCAAGCACUCCAUCAGACUUUGAGAAGGCAUCGUGUGAAAUCACUGACUUUCCAAAUCAACUCCCCUACUCUUCCCAGUGAAAAAAAAAAAAAGGAAAAAAAAAGGGUAAACAAAAGUUGUUUUACUCACGAGUAAAACCCCAGUUUUGGGCUAUGGGAGGGCUUAGGGAGACUGUAAAAUCAAAUCUCGUGUUACAUUAUUUUUUUCCUGGCUCACUCUUUUUGAGAAGGUUUAUGGGCUAUGUGGCUGGUGAGACACGAUCCCCUCCUCCCUAAGGAAAUGUAGGUGCUCAGACAGCCUUUUCCGGAGCCAAAAAAAAAAAAAAAACCCAGAGAAAAAAAUUUCCUCCUUCCCCCUUCCUGAUGAUGAGUGAGAAGUUUUGAGAACUUUCGGGGUCAAUGCCUUUUUAAACUUCCCUUCCCCCAAUAAUGCAGCUCGUAUAAUGGUAAAUGCAGCAGCCUGGAUCCAUGCAGAGCCCCAGCCUGCUGGCAGCUUUUACAGGGGUUGGUGUUCCAAGUACACAGUGAGCUCACAGUAUAAAGACAUCAAUUAAGAGUUGACAGGUAUGGAAAAACUAGAGUUUUGAAAAGGUAAAAUUAGGAAUUAGGCUAAAUGUUACACUUUUUACCAUAGCAUUUAGCUAGUCCUUAUAACACUUUGAUUAUAUGACAUUAUAAAGCUGAGCAGGAAUAUUGAGAAAUAGAAAGAUAAUAGAAAGUAACUAGUUACAAAGUAAUUUAAGUACUAAUCUUUCAGUACCAAUUUCUCUGGCACUCUUGUUAACAAAGAAAAAAUUGUAAUUGCCUAUCUUCAAAUGAUUCUAUAAAAUUAAAGAUGAAAAAUCACAGGAUUUGGGGGAGGUAGCUUGGGGAAGUGGGGAGUGGGAUGGGACAGAGGAAUAUAGUGGAAUAUAAGUUUGGCUUAGUUUAUGCUUUCUUGUAAGAGGCAGAAUCAAGAAUAAAACACAAGUUCAGUUAGACCACUCCCUAGUUUACAGAGUCGCAUUACCCCCAAUUUUUCUUUUAAAGUUAAAUUUGAUGAGCCUUGUAUCACAUAACUGCUUUUCAAGAUUAUUUCCUACAUGAUUUCACCUUACCCUACAACCAAAGAGACAGUAGUUUUAGUAAGCACCAGUCAGGAAGAAUGUCAUUUGGCAUCACCUCUGCAUCUUAUUGAAUGUGUGAAAAGUCAUUCUGUGAUUCACCUUCCUCUUAUAAAAUAGAGGUCAUUCCUACCAAGAAUUAUGAGGCAAAUGAUAUCGUAUUUUCUUCAUUGAAAUUCUUCAAUGAAGGAAUCCCAAGUUCAGGGCACUACACUUCUUGAAGUAUUAUGAGAUACCUAAAGAAGGUAUGAGCCUAGAGGACCUUGGUCUGUGGCUGAUGGCCAACACUUGAUGAUAUGGAGUAGAUGGCCCUUAAGGGACAUAGAGAGAUGGUUUUAGAGACUUUCCACUGUCCCAUUUUUAAUGACCCAAGUAUAUUUGGUAGGUGUUGUGGUAGUUUGAGGCCUUGAAGACAUUAUUUUCAAGUAGAUUCCUCCAUACAUACAUAAAAUUGGUAGAGUUGAUCUGGAUAUAUGAGGCAUGGGUGUGGGUGGUCAAAAUGUUGUUUUAGAUUUCAGUCAGACUUCCCUGUGCCCCAGUUCCCAGAAGCACAGCAAGCCUCUGAGAGCAGCCAUGGAAAUGGCGAAGCCCUGAUGUCACCAACUCUUCUGCUCAGGCUCAUCCUGCAUACUGAGGUCAAAGGAUGGGGUUUGAGAUUUGGGAAAUAAAUGAGAAAGAUGAAACAUCAGUUCUCUCCCUCUGUUAAACUAGAGUUCAGUGCUUGGAAUAGUCUUCAUCUUAAAUGUUGGCAGACUGGCUUCCCUUUUUAUUUGUUUGUUUUUGUUAGUGGUAGGGUGGGGGAGGGGAAAGGGAGGAAAUUCUCCUUAAUGACCAUCAUUUGGUUAUUGAAUUAGGUACCUUGGUAGCUAGUGUAAUAAAAAUAAUAAUGCUCCUAAAUGGUGGUGGGAAGAUAAAUUACUAUAAGUUGUAAAAACCAAACUCUUUAUAGGCGUGUUAAAAUUAUUUUCUUAUUUCUUUUACAUGUGUAUUCUUCCCUCUUUUCGUGUGUGUGUGUGUGUGUGUGUGUGUGUGUGAGAGAGAGAGAGAUGUGCAUGUCAUUUGGGGAAAUGUGUAUUAGUAACUUUCUCUAGUAGGAAAAAAACAGCGUUGUUGAAUUUCUAAAUAAAGUAAUAAGGAGUUUUCAAGUAAAUCUUUAUAUUUCAAAUGUAGGUGGUGUUUAUAUGUGUAUGUUUGUGAUUUUAAGUAGUCUAAGACAUUGAAAAAUCAGGAAGAGACAGCCCCAUUAGGUUCUAGAAAAACUUAAUAAAAAUUAAAUUUCUGCUCAUUCUAUUGCUAUUUUGGUGAUCUUUGAAAUGCAAUUUUGCAAGGCUUUGGGACCACCAAAUUCAGGUUUUUAAAGUAUACAUUUUUAAAGUGAACCUUGUAGUUCUUAGCAGUAGAUUCAGGAAAGUAACCAAUUAUUUUUAAAAAGAAAGAAAAAUAUCUCUUAGGGAUUGUGAUUACCGAGUGGCGCAAGCUUUCCACUUCUCAUUUUGGAAUUUUACCAAUGUAGCAUCAGUUUCUUAAGUUAAUCAUAACCUUAGUGUGUAUGAUAUGUAUAUUUGGCACCGGGGACCAUAAAAUUAGUAGGAAGACACAAACGUGGUAUGUUGGACAAAGGAACCCUGUUUGGUUAAUGAUCUGGUACUGAACAGAACCUCUUCUAUAUACCCUUCUGGUGCAGCAGAGUAAUAAACUGGUAGGUGGCUGCAGUAGAAGAAAGACUUCUUCAGACUGGGUGAUAUGUGACCUGAAAAUUCUGCAGAGGGGGAAGUGGAACAUGAAAUAGACGAUGGAAACAAAGGGGAAAGUGCAUGGAAGAAAGAUUAAGGUUCCUGGGAUUUACACUCUGGAUGUUUUCUUUCAGGUUUUUGAAGUAAAGAGUGAUCAUCCUCCCUUGUUUAUGGUCAUUUUGGAUGAAGAUAGAUUUGACCAGAUGAACUUCAGAUGGGGCAAAACACAGAAGAAAGAAGCAACAGCCUCAGCUAAUUUGACUGUAAUCAUAUUUUCAUAAUAAAAUGCUGUGA